rnacentral:rRNA from 1 species
GGGAUAGCCCAGGGAAACCUGGAUUAAUACCGGAUGAGACGGGACCCGCGAUGGCGGGACCCGGGAAAGGCGCUGCGGCGCCGCCGGGGGGAUGAGUCUGCGUCCCAUUAGCUAGACGGCGGGGUAACGGCCCACCGUGGCGACGAUGGGUAGCCGGCCUGAGAGGGUGGACGGCCACAUUGGAACUGAGACACGGUCCAGACUCCUACGGGAGGCAGCAGCUAAGAAUCUCCGCAAUGGGCGAAAGCCUGACGGAGCCGACGCCGCGUGAACGAAGAAGGCCGUGAGGUUGUAAAGUUCUUUCGGGAGGGGAACAACCGUGGCAGGGAAUGGCCGCGGGAUGACGUGAAUACCCGGAAUAAGCCCCGGCUAACUACGUGCCAGCCGCAGC